GUCGGGGUCGGGCCCGGUCCCCAUGGGUCGCUCCUCGUUGGGGACCAAGGCCGCCUUCCUCUUGCCCUCCCGCGAGGAGGCAACCACUCAGCAGCAGCAGCAGCGACGGCGACAGCGACGCUCGCAGCUUCGGAGGAGUCAUGCUCCGCGGUUUCCGCGCUCCGCUGUUCUCAGACCACGUUUGUCGGGGCUGGACCAGGCAAAGAGCAUUCCCCAGGACCUGCGGACAGAGGCAGAGACUGCCACCAACUGAGCCACACGCAGCGCUUCGCCCAGACACAUGCACCUGCGAACUACUCUUCCGCAGACUUUCUAGAAUCUGCAGCCUGCGAGGAGACCCUCUGAGGAGCUUUCCUGGGGAAACUGCUUACUGUCUAAAUAAUCACUUUCGAACCAUGUAUGCAUUGAGAUUUUCUUCCCCUUGCAAAUACGAUAGCAAAACGAUGCGUGAUAAUUGCCCCCUCUACCCCUUCCUUCAUUUUCUCCCUUCUCCAACCUGCAAUAAACUAUCUACAAAAUCAUUUCAGAUGAUUCCUUGGAAACAUGCACUUUACUACACUUUGAACUUACCGAGUUCUGGGAGAGGCGCCAAAGCCUUAUUAGGGUAGAGGGAACGACUGCACGGGGGAGUAGUCUGUUUUAGCCGGCUCCCUGUGAAUGAACGUGGUAUCAAUGGAACAGAAGAGGCCUACCCUUCUUCGCCCCUCCCCGAUUUCUCUCACACUGGGAGACUUAUCACCGCCGCGCUUCUCUCUCUCUCUCCCUCUCUCUCUCUGUCUCUCCAGAUGGAUGAUGGAAGCGGUCCUGUAGUAUGAAAUACAAAUCUUGUAUUUUGCUUCCAAUGUUUAAAAUAAUCAGGCAAAAUUAACCAAGUUUUUCUUCUUUCAUGUACUUAACCAUCCAAAAAAUAAAAAUUAAACAAAAGAUCUAAGUUUUAAAAGUUAAAUAAAAUGAAACAAAACAAACUUCAGUAUUCUAAACUAGGC
rnacentral:lncRNA from 10 species